AUGAACGCUGGCGGCGUGCCUAACACAUGCAAGUCGAACGGACUAGAAUGAAACCUAGUGAUUUUAGUUAGUGGCGGACGGGUGAGUAACGCGUGGGUAACCUGCCUCAUACAGGGGGAUAACAGUUAGAAAUGACUGCUAAUACCGCAUAAGCGCACAGUACCGCAUGGUACAGUGUGAAAAGCCGAGACGGUAUGAGAUGGACCCGCGUCUGAUUAACUAGUUGGUGAGGUAAUGGCUCACCAAGGUAACGAUGCGUAGCCGAACUGAGAGGUUGAACGGCCACACUGGGACUGAGACACGGCCCAGACUCCUACGGGAGACAGCAGUUAGGAAUAUUCGUCAAUGGGGGAAACCCUGAACGAGCAAUGCCGCGUGAGUGAUGAAGGCCCUAUGGGUUGUAAAACUCUGUUGUAUGGGAAGAAUGGCUAUAUUAGGAAAUGAAUAUAGAAUGACGGUACCAUACCAGAAAGCUCCGGCUAACUACGUG
rnacentral:rRNA from 1 species